rnacentral:rRNA from 1 species
GACGAACGCUGGCGGCGUGCCUAAUACAUGCAAGUCGAACGAUAGCGACCGGUGCUUGCACUGGUCAAUCUAGUGGCAAACGGGUGAGUAACAUGUGGGUAACCUGCCCAACAGAGGGGGAUCACAUCCGAACACGGAUGCUUAAACCGCAUAGGUCUUCGAGCCGUAUGGCUUGCUGAGGAAAUGAGGCGCAAGCUUCUGCUGAUGGACGUACCCGCGGUUCAUUAGCUAGUUGGUGAGGUAACGGCUCACCAAGGCCGUGAUGCAUAGCCGACCGGAGGGGGUGAUCGGCCACAUUGGGACUGGGACACGCCCAGAACUCCUACGGGAGGAAGCAGAGGGGAAUCUUCGGCAAUGGAGGAAAGUCUGACGGAGCAAGGCGGCGUGAGGGAAGAAGGUUUUGGGUUCGUAAGAUUCUGUUGUUGGGGAGAAACAAGUGCUAGAGGAACUGUUAGCGCCGUGACGGUAUCUAACCAGAAAGCCACGGCUAACUACGUG